rnacentral:lncRNA from 10 species
GUCAUUUCAGGAAGGGGAGACAGGGGAAGAGUCAAGCAGGGGCGGUGGGAAUCUGGGAGGUCAUGGAGCUCAAGUGUGUGUGCCUGAAAAACCGCUCCCCGAGUGCUGAGGAGCAGCCAAGCCUCCUUCCAGAGCCCUCAGCCCAGGAGAGGUGGCUUACAGUCCCACAGGUGGAGGAGGAGCCUUAGGCUCAAGGUUAACACCCACUCUCCUUCCCUGUUCUGCAUCACAGUCACGGGGGUCACCCAAGGAGUGCCUUGUAUGGUAGAGAGAGAUUAACAGGGCAGCCUCCCAGCAGUCCCCACCCCAACCCUGCUCCCUGGGCCAGCUGUCCCGCUGUCAUUGACCCGGUCCCUAUUUACAGUUCAGUAGCAGAGGCCUAUGACUCAGGGACAGAGGGAAUUCCCACGGUGCCAGGCCUCAGGCCAUGUGGAGAGUGGCUCAUUAAGAGCCACGGCACAGCGAUUACCUCCAGAGAGGCGUGUGAGCAGGUACCUUGGAAGCUCUGUUUCUCAUGUUUCUAAAGAUCGCCAAGGUGUUGUGUUCUGAGUAAUAAUGAAUUGCCUUCAUUAUUCACACGCACAACCUGCACCACCGCCCACAAAGGCCUUGGACACUCCUGCUGAAGAGGUCAAGUCAGCCCUCUGGUCCCAGCUCUCCCAUUGACUGGCUGGUGGGUGUCAGCCUAAGAGCCGUAUGGACUUCGUCAGUGCCGGAGUGUGAGGCCCUUUGUAUUUUGGAGCCAUUACCAGAAAGCAGAGCCUCCAGUAGACCUUUUUCAAACUUUCUGUGUGGUUUGCACGUUCGUCCACUGUACCGAGGUAGCAUUUCUUCUCAUUAUGACUCCUGGGGCUGUCCGCCUGCCUCCGGUUCCCAAAACCCUGUGGGUGUGGAAGCUGUGAGGUAAGCAGAACAUGGCCCAGCCCCCGGGCCCUGCUGAUUGGUUCAGAAGUGGACCUCUGGCGCAGGCCCCUCCAACCACAACAUCCUGAGCUCUUGGCAACAAUUGUUUGGUGACGGCCUCAGCUUUUAACUAGAAUUUUGGAGAAAAGCUGCAGUGUGUCUUUAACUUGUUAAGCUUGGGAGCUGCUAUCGGAGAGUCUUGCAUUCUGGGCCCAGCCACAUCCCUGCUCUUGGUAAAGAUGCAGAAACUGAGGCCCGGGACCACACACCUGACACCAAGUGGACUAGGAUUCAGGCCGUUGACCAUAUUCUUUCAACUUCAGGAGCAACAGCACCUGGAGGACCCAAAUUUGCUGUCAUCCUCCACGAGGCCUCAGCAGUCUCCAACAUGGAAGGGCACUGAGCCAGCCUGGGGGUUUCCAGGGACCUUCCUGACUGAACACUGGAAAGACCCUUUCAUUCCAUCCUGUCCCCCAGGUGGGACCCCACGCCCUGAGGUGGAACAGAGGUGAAGAGGAAGGGGAGCGGCUCCUGUGCAUUUUAAUAGAAAUGAAUUCAAGUUCUCUCCUGAAGGACUCAGUUCCUUGGGCCCAAACUUCUCCAGUCUCUCAUGAAAGGAGAUGAACUGCUUCAGAUAAAGUGCUAAUCUUCAGCCUCAAAGUCCUCAGAAGGGUAAGAUUGCUAUGUAUCUGAAGAUGGGUGCAAUAGAAAAGCAAAUGUCCCAUAAGACCCCAGCUCUCUCCUCCUCCACUGAGAGCGCACACUGUCUACAGGGCAAGUCUCGUUGCUUGAGAAAGUUCUUUUAAUUUUUUCCAAUCCACCUGGCAAAGAGCCUGACCACAACGUCUGUCUCACCCUCCUUCCCGAAACUUCGGUCUCCCCCAUGGGAUUUUCAGAAUUUGGGAGGGGGUGCUGUGUUGCUUUGCAGUUCUGCUGCCCAUUUUUCACAAGAGAAAACUGGGUGUCAACGAAAUGAGAAUAGAUUCUGCAGUGAAAGCAUUUGGAGCCAGACAGUGGGAGAAAUCUGAUGUAUAACAGUGGUUUUCAACCACGGCUGCAAAUUAGAAGCACAAGAACACUUCAAAAAAUACUCAUACCCAGGCCCCACCAAAUAUUUAUCUUGAGAUGGGAUGCUUUCUUGCCUGCUUUCCUUGUGUGUGGGGUGUGUGUAUGUGUGCUUGUGUGUGUGAUAUGUGUGUUUUAAAAAGUCUUCCAGGUGAUUCUAAUAUGCCAGAGCUAAGAAUUACUCACCUAAAAUAAGACAACUGUGUUAGAAAGAAUAUCCAAUAGAGAAAUGAACAAAAGACAUGAAUGGGCAAUUCACAAAGACAAAAUAAAAAUGGCUAAUGGGCACAUGAAAACCUGUUGACCCCAAUUAAUAAUUAAAGAAAUGCUAAAUAAAACAAUAAUGAGAUAGCAUUUCACGUAUCAAGUUGUCAACCCUUUUUUUUUCUAAUGAAAGAAUAUUCCCAGGAAUAACAACAACAUGUUUGUGUGUGUUGGGGGUGGGGCUGUGGCGAGUCUCAAACACUGUGAGAAUAAAUAGCUACAAUCUCUCCUGAGGGCAGCUGGGCAACAUGCACCUUUACACCCAUCAGUUUCACAUUAAGAUUCUAUAAGGAUGCACUGGGAUUUAGCUAGAGCUGUUCAUCUUAGCAGGAACAGAAAAUUGGAAAUUCCUAAAUAUCUACCAUUAGGAGAUGAGUUCAAUGAAUUACGGUGCUGCCAUAAAACAGGAUGCCACACAGUCACUGAAUGUAAUAGAGUCGAUGACUAUGUCCUGAUUAGGGAAGAUGUUCAGAUAAACUAUUGAGUGAAAAAAGAAGCAGUUUCCAAAUAAUAAUACCAUUUUUGCUUUUUAAAAAAAUAAUGUCCUUCCAUGAAAUAGAAGUAAAAAAAUUAGAAGAAUAUGAAAAGUAUAUGCGUGUAUAUGUCAGUACUUAGGAAAGAGCUUGCAAAAAUAUAUGCAGGCCAGAUGUGGUGGCUCAUACUUGUAAUCCUGGAAAGACUCGGGAGGCUAAGGAGGGAAGAUUGCUUGGGGCCAGGACUUCCAGACCAGCCUGGGCAAGACAGGGAGACCCUGUCUCUAUAAUUAUUUUUUUCUUUUCUUUUUUUUUUUUUGUAAAUUAGCCAGGCAUG